AGUCAGUUGACGAGUCCCAAAUAGGACGAAAUGUCCUUUAUCCUGGAU
rnacentral:hammerhead_ribozyme from 1 species